AUAAUUGGUUUUACUGAACAUGUUGUAAAGUUGGUAUUUUAUGAAAAAAAUAACUUAUCUUCCCUUAGACUAGGCUCUAUGAGAUUUUUGAAGCCCUUGAUAAUUUUGCUUCUGCUGCAUAAUAAUCUAGUCAGUGAUUUGACCCAAUACUUUUUUCAUUGACAUUUUUUUCAACUUUCAACUUUCAACUUUCAACUUUCA
rnacentral:lncRNA from 1 species